rnacentral:rRNA from 1 species
ACUCAAAUGAAUUGACGGGGGCCCGCACAAGCAGUGGAUUAUGUGGUUUAAUUCGAAGCAACGCGAAGAACCUUACCGGGGAUUGACAUCCAACUAACGAAGCAGAGAUGCAUUAGGUGCCCUUCGGGGAAAGUUGAGACAGGUGGUGCAUGGUUGUCGUCAGCUCGUGUCGUGAGAUGUUGGGUUAAGUCCCGCAACGAGCGCAACCCUUAUUGUUAGUUGCUACGCAAGAGCACUCUAGCGAGACUGCCGUUGACAAAACGGAGGAAGGUGGGGACGACGUCAAAUCAUCAUGCCCCUUAUAUCCCGGGCUACACACGUAAUACAAUGGCGGUCAACAAAGGGAAGCAAAGCCGCGAGGCAGAGCAAAUCCCCAAAAGCCGUCUCAGUUCGGAUUGCAGGCUGCAACUCGCCUGCAUGAAGUCGGAAUUGCUAGUAAUCGCGGAUCAGCACGCCGCGGUGAAUACGUUCCCGGGCCUUGCACACACCGCCCGU